UAGGGAAUCUUCCGCAAUGGACGAAAGUCUGACGGAGCAACGCCGCGUGAGUGAAGAAGGCCUUCGGGUCGUAAAACUCUGUUGCCGGGGAAGAACAAGUGCCGUUCGAACAGGGCGGCGCCUUGACGGUACCCGGCCAGAAAGCCACGGCUAACUACGUGCCAGCAGCCGCGGUAAUACGUAGGUGGCAAGCGUUGUCCGGAAUUAUUGGGCGUAAAGCGCGCGCAGGCGGCUUCUUAAGUCUGAUGUGAAAUCUUGCGGCUCAACCGCAAGCGGUCAUUGGAAACUGGGAGGCUUGAGUGCAGAAGAGGAGAGUGGAAUUCCACGUGUAGCGGUGAAAUGCGUAGAGAUGUGGAGGAACACCAGUGGCGAAGGCGGCUCUCUGGUCUGUAACUGACGCUGAGGCGCGAAAGCGUGGGGAGCAAACA
rnacentral:rRNA from 1 species